UACGUAGGGAGCAAGCGUUGUCCGGAAUCAUUGGGCGUAAAGCGCGCGUAGGUGGCCCGGUAAGUCCGCUCUGAAAGUCACAGGCUCAACCUGUGAAAGCGGGUGGAUACUGCCGGGCUAGAGUCCGGAAGAGGCGAGUGGAAUUCCUGGUGUAGCGGUGGAAUGCGCAGAUAUCAGGAGGAACACCCGUGGCGAAAGCGGCUCUCUGGGACGGUACUGACGCUGAGACGCGAAAGCGUGGGGAGCAAACAGG
rnacentral:rRNA from 1 species